GACGAACGCUGGCGGCGUGCUUAACACAUGCAAGUCGAACGGAAAGGCCCUGCUUUUGUGGGGUGCUCGAGUGGCGAACGGGUGAGUAACACGUGAGUAACCUGCCCUUGACUUUGGGAUAACUUCAGGAAACUGGGGCUAAUACCGGAUAGGAGCUCCUGCUGCAUGGUGGGGGUUGGAAAGUUUCGGCGGUUGGGGAUGGACUCGCGGCUUAUCAGCUUGUUGGUGGGGUAGUGGCUUACCAAGGCUUUGACGGGUAGCCGGCCUGAGAGGGUGAACGGCCACAUUGGGACUGAGAUACGGACCAGACUCCUACGGGAGGCAGCAGUGGGGAAUAUUGCACAAUGGGCGGAAGCCUGAUGCAGAAACGCCGCGUGCGGGAUGACGGCCUUCGGGUUGUAAACCGCUUUCGCCUGUGACGAAGCGUGAGUGACGGUAAUGGGUAAAGAAGCACCGGCUAACUACGUG
rnacentral:rRNA from 1 species